rnacentral:misc_RNA from 1 species
GACUCAAUCCCUCGGGUUUCCGAGGAGAUUGGACUUGGGUGUUGCCGCUUCUGCCGGCUCACCUUAAAAGACUUAGCGGGAUAGCACCGUAGUCGGCGUAAUAAGUUUCGUCGGUGAAGGUUGUGAUGACUGCUUACAAUCGCCCUCGGGCAAUUUUUGACUCUGACCUCAAAUCAGGUAGGACUACCCGCUGAACUUAA